ACAUAAGUUUAGUUGUUUCAACUUCAUCAAAUUUAGCAAUUAUUUUACGUAAUACUUAUCCACGAAGAUCGUGUUCAAUGUUGAAACAUAAUUUUGUUUUUAGAGGGAAAAUACAUGAACAUGGAAACUGAACGAAUUGCAUGAGAAAUAAAUUCAGCGUUUGUAACAUAUAAAUAGGCAUUGACAUGGAAUAUAUAGAGGUUAUGAACAGUAACUUUUUAAAAUAUUGCGAAAAGAUGUAUGAAAUGCACAAUGAACAUCUUUAUAAAUUAACUAAGGGAAGUUUUGCUUGAUUCAAAUGAGAAUAUCAAGACUUUUUUCAAAGACAUUUUAACAGAAUUUUUUAGUGAUUAUAUCAUCAACUGAGGCCGUAUAAUUAUGGUUUUUGUGUUUGGAGCGAGGUUAGCUGUUUUAUGUAAAGAUAAAAAUAGAACUGAUUUCAUUGAUCAAGUAAUGCAGAGUGUAGACAAAUACGUGAAGACGGAAUUUUUGGAAUGGAUUAAUAUCCAAGGAUGUUGGAAACCUGGGAAUCAUUUUCCACCAAAACAACUGAUCGUGGGCAAAUAACCUGUUCACUCGAACAAUUGAAGAACAUACCUGGCCUACUUAUAUGAUAAUUGUAGUAGUAAUACAUUGUUUCGUAGGUAAACCUUCUUAAUAUUACUAUGGAUCAUAAAUAAAUGUAUACGUCUUUUUAAGUUAAAAAAAAACACUAUUAUACUAAUUGUAUGUUAAUGAUAGCAGAAUAUUAAAUUUCAUUUUAUGUAUUAUUAUUGUUGAUACUGCAGGCACCAAUACUGUUUCCAGACAUGAUUUCGGUGACCUUAACGUCAAUCACUGUUUUUAAUUAACACAUUUACCCAGAUUGUAGCUUUACAUACUUUAAAGGUUCUCAGAUAUAAUGACUAUUAUUUUGUAAACGAAAUCUCAGCAUUUAUGAUAAACACUGUCAAAUUGUGAUCUCCUAUCCUAUCAUCUUCCAUUGCUCAAAAGUUUAAGCUUUGACACAAGUUGUAAUCUAUCAAACGAUUCUUAAGUUCAAUCAUGUAUGUACCCUAGGCUUAUGUGGGAUUGGAACAGCCUUCAGUUAGUUAUGUGAGACAUUUGAAAAUAAAAUGAAUUUUGUACUA